rnacentral:rRNA from 1 species
UACGAAGGGGGCUAGCGUUGUUCGGAAUUACUGGGCGUAAAGCGCACGUAGGCGGGUUGUUAAGUCAGGGGUGAAAUCCUGGAGCUCAACUCCAGAACUGCCUUUGAUACUGGCAACCUAGAGACUGGAAGAGGUUAGUGGAAUUCCCAGUGUAGAGGUGAAAUUCGUAGAUAUUCGGAAGAACACCAGUGGCGAAGGCGACUCACUGGACGAUUGUUGACGCUGAGGUGCGAAAGCGUGGGGAGCAAACAGG